rnacentral:rRNA from 1 species
GACGAACGCUGGCGGCGUGCUUAACACAUGCAAGUCGAACGGAAAGGCCCUGCUUUUGUGGGGUGCUCGAGUGGCGAACGGGUGAGUAACAUGUGAGUAACCUGCCCUAGACUUUGGUAUAACUUCAGGAAACUGGGUCUAAUACCGGAUAGGAGCUCCUGCUGCAUGGUGGGGGUUGGAAUGUUUCGGCGGUUGGGGUUGGACUCGCGGCUUGUCAGCUUGUUGGUGGGGUAGUGGCUUACCAAGGCUUUGACGGGUGGCCGGCCGGGGGGGGUGACCGGCAAGAUUGGGGCGGGGAUACGGCCCGGACUCCAAGGGGGGGAGGCGGGGGGGAAUGUUGAACAAUGGGGGGAGGCCUGAUGCAGCAAGGCGGCGGGCGGGAGGACGGCCUUCGGUUUGUAAACCGCUUUCGCCUGGGACGAAGCGUGAGUGACGGUAAUGGGUAAAGAAGCACCGGCUAACUACGUG